rnacentral:rRNA from 1 species
ACGAUGAAGCCCAGCUUGCUGGGUGGAUUAGUGGCGAACGGGUGAGUAACACGUGAGUAACCUGCCCUUAACUCUGGGAUAAGCCUGGGAAACUGGGUCUAAUACCGGAUAGGAGCGUCCACCGCAUGGUGGGUGUUGGAAAGAUUUAUCGGUUUUGGAUGGACUCGCGGCCUAUCAGCUUGUUGGUGAGGUAAUGGCUCACCAAGGCGACGACGGGUAGCCGGCCUGAGAGGGUGACCGGCCACACUGGGACUGAGACACGGCCCAGACUCCUACGGGAGGCAGCAGUGGGGAAUAUUGCACAAUGGGCGCAAGCCUGAUGCAGCGACGCCGCGUGAGGGAUGACGGCCUUCGGGUUGUAAACCUCUUUCAGUAGGGAAGAAGCGAAAGUGACGGUACCUGCAGAAGAAGCACCGGCUAACUACGUGCCAGCAGCCGCGGUAGUACGUAGGGUGCGAGCGUUAUCCGGAAUUAUUGGGCGUAAAGAGCUCGUAGGCGGUUUGUCGCGUCUGUCGUGAAAGUCCGGGGCUUAACCCCGGAUCUGCGGUGGGUACGGGCAGACUAGAGUGCAGUAGGGGAGACUGGAAUUCCUGGUGUAGCGGUGGAAUGCGCAGAUAUCAGGAGGAACACCGAUGGCGAAGGCAGGUCUCUGGGCUGUAACUGACGCUGAGGAGCGAAAGCAUGGGGAGCGAACAGGAUUAGAUACCCUGGUAGUCCAUGCUGUAAACGUUGGGCACUAGGUGUGGGGACCAUUCCACGGUUUCCGCGCCGCAGCUAACGCAUUAAGUGCCCCGCCUGGGGAGUACGGCCGCAAGGCUAAAACUCAAAGGAAUUGACGGGGGCCCGCACAAGCGGCGGAGCAUGCGGAUUAAUUCGAUGCAACGCGAAGAACCUUACCAAGGCUUGACAUGUUCUCGAUCGCCGUAGAGAUACGGUUUCCCCUUUGGGGCGGGUUCACAGGUGGUGCAUGGUUGUCGUCAGCUCGUGUCGUGAGAUGUUGGGUUAAGUCCCGCAACGAGCGCAACCCUCGUUCCAUGUUGCCAGCACGUCGUGGUGGGGACUCAUGGGAGACUGCCGGGUCAACUCGGAGGAAGGUGAGGACGACGUCAAAUCAUCAUGCCCCUUAUGUCUUGGGCUUCACGCAUGCUACAAUGGCCGGUACAAUGGGUUGCGAUACUGUGAGGUGGAGCUAAUCCCAAAAGCCGGUCUCAGUUCGGAUUGGGGUCUGCACUCGACCCAUGAAGUCGGAGUCGCUAGUA